rnacentral:rRNA from 1 species
AGUGAACGCUGGCGGUAGGCCUAACACAUGCAAGUCGAACGGCAGCACAGUAAGAGCUUGCUCUUACGGGUGGCGAGUGGCGGACGGGUGAGGAAUACAUCGGAAUCUACUUUUUCGUGGGGGAUAACGUAGGGAAACUUACGCUAAUACCGCAUACGACCUACGGGUGAAAGCAGGGGAUCUUCGGACCUUGCGCGAUUGAAUGAGCCGAUGUCGGAUUAGCUAGUUGGCGGGGUAAAGGCCCACCAAGGCGACGAUCCGUAGCUGGUCUGAGAGGAUGAUCAGCCAAACUGGAAAGGAGACACGGUCCAGACUCCUACGGGAGGCAGCAGUGGGGAAUAUUGGACAAUGGGCGCAAGCCUGAUCCAGCCAUACCGCGUGGGUGAAGAAGGCCUUCGGGUUGUAAAGCCCUUUUGUUGGGAAAGAAAAGCAGCAGGUUAAUACCCCGCUGUUCUGACGGUACCCAAAGAAUAAGCACCGGCUAACUUCGU